rnacentral:rRNA from 1 species
UCAAAUCAGGUAGGACUACCCGC